UUGAAAUUUACUCUUAAGGGGGUUCGCGGGUCUAAAUCAUUUAUAUAGGAUUUCUCUAUAUUUUUCUAUAAAUGAACUUUAUCUUAUAGUUAAUAGAAAAAUAAAAUAAAAAAGUGGGAUCACCGUUCAUUUGCGCUCACAAUCUGCCUUCGAAAGAAGCAUACAUUUUUGUAAAGGUGUUUUUUUUCUGUUGAAGUAAUAGGAGAAAUAAAGGUAAUAUCGAAAUAAAAAAAAAGAAAUUUAUUACAGAAAUCGCUAAAAUUUUACAAUGAUUUAGUUUAAGUACAGCUUAUAAGGAAAUU
rnacentral:lncRNA from 1 species